rnacentral:rRNA from 1 species
UGCUUACACAUGCAAGUCGAACGAUGAACCGCUUUCGGGCGGGGAUUAGUGGCGAACGGGUGAGUAACACGUGGGCAAUCUGCCCUGCACUCUGGGACAAGCCCUGGAAACGGGGUCUAAUACCGGAUAUGACCGUCUGCCGCAUGGUGGAUGGUGUAAAGCUCCGGCGGUGCAGGAUGAGCCCGCGGCCUAUCAGCUUGUUGGUGAGGUAGUGGCUCACCAAGGCGACGACGGGUAGCCGGCCUGAGAGGGCGACCGGCCACACUGGGACUGAGACACGGCCCAGACUCCUACGGGAGGCAGCAGUGGGGAAUAUUGCACAAUGGGCGAAAGCCUGAUGCAGCGACGCCGCGUGAGGGAUGACGGCCUUCGGGUUGUAAACCUCUUUCAGCAGGGAAGAAGCGAAAGUGACGGUACCUGCAGAAGAAGCGCCGGCUAACUACGUGCCAGCAGCCGCGGUAAUACGUAGGGCGCAAGCGUUGUCCGGAAUUAUUGGGCGUAAAGAGCUCGUAGGCGGCUUGUCACGUCGGUUGUGAAAGCCCGGGGCUUAACCCCGGGUCUGCAGUCGAUACGGGCAGGCUAGAGUUCGGUAGGGGAGAUCGGAAUUCCUGGUGUAGCGGUGAAAUGCGCAGAUAUCAGGAGGAACACCGGUGGCGAAGGCGGAUCUCUGGGCCGAUACUGACGCUGAGGAGCGAAAGCGUGG